rnacentral:rRNA from 1 species
AGCGAACGCUGGCGGCAGGCUUAACACAUGCAAGUCGAGCGGGCAUCUUCGGAUGUCAGCUGCAGACGGGUGAGUAACACGUUGGAACGUACCCUUCGGUUCGGAACAACUCUGGGAAACUGGAGCUAAUACCGGAUACGCCCGUAUGGUGAAAGGUUUACUUCCGAAGUAUCGGGCCGCGUCUGAUUAGCUAGUUGGUUUGGUAACGGCCUACCAAGGCGACGAUCAGUAGCUGGUCUGAGAGGACGAUCAGCCACACUGGGACUGGGACACGGCCCAGACUCCUACGGGAGGAAGAAGUGGGGAAUAUUGGACAAUGGGCGCAAGCCUGAUCCAGCCAUGCCGCGUGAGUGAUGAAGGCCUUAGGGUUGUAAAGCUGUUUUGUCCGGGACGAUAAUGACGGUACCGGAAGAAUAAGCCCCGGCUAACUUCGUG